rnacentral:rRNA from 1 species
AGAGUUUGAUCCUGGCUCAGGACGAACGCUGGCGGCAUGCCUAAUACAUGCAAGUCGAACGCUUUGAUUUCACCGGGUGCUUGCACCCACCGAAGUCAAGGAGUGGCGGACGGGUGAGUAACACGUGGGUAACCUGCCCAUAAGUGGGGGAUAACAUUCGGAAACGGAUGCUAAUACCGCAUAUUUCUAAUCGCCUCCUGGCGAACUGAAAAAGGUGGCUUCGGCUACCGCUUAUGGAUGGACCCGCGGCGUAUUAGCUAGUUGGUGAGGUAAUGGCUCACCAAGGCGACGAUCCAUAGCCGACCUGAGAGGGUGAUCGGCCACAUUGGGACUGAGACACGGCCCAAACUCCUACGGGAGGCAGCAGUAGGGAAUCUUCGGCAAUGGACGAAAGUCUGACCGAGCAACGCCGCGUGAGCGAAGAAGGCCUUCGGUCGUAAAGCUCUGUUGUUAGUAGAAGAACAUAGGGUGAGAGUAACUGUUCACCCUUGACGGUAUCUAACCAGAAAGCCACGGCUAACUACGU